rnacentral:tRNA from 1 species
GCGGUCGUGGCGAAGGCCUGGGCGAUGAGGGUCUUGCCCGUGCCCGGGGGGCCGUACAUCAGAGCGCCGUUCGAAACGGUCGACCACG